CCCUCCACAUGUAAAGCCACCUUUCCACCCCAAACCACCGCAUCACAAGCCACCCCAUGUCAAACCACCGCACAAGCCCCCGUAUGUUCCUAAACCACCUUAUUCCCCAAGCCCUAAACCGCCUUACGUGCCAAAACCACCUCAUACUCCAGUCCCUAGGCCACCAUAUUUCCCCAAACCACCUUACACACCAAGGCCUAAGCCACCAUAUGCGCCAAAACCACCUUAUACGCCAACCCCUAAGCCACCAUAUUUCCCCAAACCACCUUACACACCAAGGCCGAAGCCACCAUAUGUGCCAAAACCACCUUAUACGCCAGCCCCUAAGCCACCAUAUUUUCCCAAACCACCUUACACACCAAGGCCUAAGCCACCAUAUGCACCAAAACCACCUUAUACGCCAACACCUAAGCCACCAUAUUUCCCCAAACCACCUUACACACCAAGGCCUAAGCCACCGUACGUGCCAAAACCACCGUACACACCAAGGCCUAAGCCACCGUACGUGCCAAAACCACCAUACACACCAACCCCUAAGCCACCGUACGUGCCAAAACCACCUUACACCCCAACCCCUAAGCCACCGUACGUGCCAAAACCACCGUAUACCCCAACUCCUAAGCCACCGUACGUCCCAUCGCCACCUUAUACCCCUCGCCCUAAACCACCGUAUGUACCAUCACCACCUUAUACCCCUAGCCCUAAACCACCGUAUGUGCCAUCACCACCAUAUACCCCAAGCCCUACCCCACCAUAUGUACCAUCACCACCGUAUACCCCAAGCCCACCAUAUGUACCAUCACCACCGUAUACCCCAAGCCCUAGCCCACCACCACCACCAAGUGGAACACCGUGUCCUCCGCCGCCGCCACCAAAGGUGAGACCGUACCCUCCACCACCAUCACAAACUUGUCCCAUUGAUACUCUCAAGCUUGGUGCAUGCGUCGACGUGUUGGGCGGUCUAAUACACAUCGGUAUAGGCAGCAGUGCAAAGGACGCUUGCUGCCCCGUGCUGCAGGGGCUACUGGACUUGGAUGCUGCAUUAUGUCUUUGCACCACCAUUAAACUUAAGCUUUUGAAUAUCAAUCUUAUUAUACCGAUCGCC
rnacentral:lncRNA from 1 species